AUUCAUUCUUAUCUUGUUUGGCAUUUAAAAGAAUGCAUUUAUUUGACAACUUCAAGUCCUCCUCUUUUCAUUUGUUUUUAGUGUCCAUGAUCUUGACACGUCUGAGAGAUCAAGUGGAGGAAAGAAAUUUCACAAAUCUGCCCGUUGUAUCGCAUGUGAUGCUAAGGCUUUGGAAGGAAAUAAAUUAUGUGGUACCUGCUUGUCGGAAGCAGCUGGUUCUCC